UACGUAGGCAGCAAGCGUUGUUCGGAAUUACUGGGCGUAAAGAGUGUGUAGGCGGUGCUCUAAGUUCGGUGUGAAAUCUCCUGGCUCAACUGGGAGGGUGCGCCGGAAACUGGGGUGCUGGAGCGCGGGAGAGGAAAGCGGAAUUCCUGGUGUAGCGGUGAAAUGCGUAGAUAUCAGGAGGAACACCGGCGGUGUAGACGGCUUUCUGGACCGUAGCUGACGCUGAGGCACGAAAGCGUGGGUAGCAAACAGG
rnacentral:rRNA from 1 species